CCACUCGUGCUAGUCCUUCAUUACUCGCUUCUUCUCGCACAGCAAAUAAACGCUACAACAUAGUACACGAUGAUAGUAAUGCAACAUCCUUACUCAGGACCACAGUGCAAAACAACCUGAAGAGUGUGUGUGUGUGUGUGUGUGUGUGUGUGUGUGUGUGUGUGUGUUAAAAUCAGAUCACCAAAAAUGUUAUCAUUUUUUGUGCAAACAAAGAGAUGCAGAUAAAUAUAUAAAGCGAUGCAGAAAGUCAGCGUGAGUGAGAAUGACGUGUGUGUGUGUGUGUGUGUGUGUGUGUGUGUGAGAGAGAGAGACAAACGUGAACAGGAAAAACAAGGAAAAGUGUAUUAAGAUCACAUCAGCUUCAUUACAAGCUCUGAGCACAUGCAGAGAGGGGAGAGAGAGAGAGAGAGAGAGAGAGAGAGAGGGGGGAAAAUAUGAGACAGCCUGAAAAAAAAAAAUCAU